GUCUGCUGCAGUUUUGGGACUGUGUUGUCGUGGUGCCAUCAGCCAAUCAGAGUUUUCAUGAUGUCAUUUCCUGCGACCUCAGAGUGAUUAGUCACGUUGAAUUUAUGGCUCAGGUGGAUGUCUAAAGAAAUGUGCUUCUGGCAGGAUGUGCUACCUGAGAAAGUGCCAUGGAGAUGAAUGGAAACGCCAUCGGAUACUUUCUCCAGGAAUUACAGACCUCCUCUGGUCUUUGACCGGAAGUGGAGCUUCAGCGGGUGGGAGUGUUUUUCUCUGCCAAGAGCCAAAAAGCACUGACCCCUGAAGUGUCACCCUCAUGAGGCCGGUAACAGUACUGCUGUAAAAUGAAUCAUUCCUCCACACUCACUUUCCCAGAAUGGCCAUGGACUGAUGUGACAAACACCAAGCAGGAGACCGGCACAGCUGGGCCGCGUAAAGCCUGCAAGAAAAACAACGAGCGAGAAAUAAAACAUGGACUUAAACUAUG